rnacentral:rRNA from 1 species
UACGUAGGGUGCGAGCGUUGCCCGGAUUUAUUGGGCGUAAAGGGCGCGUACGGCGGCCACGCACGUCCGUUGUGAAAUCGCCCGGCUCAACUGGGCGGGGUCGGCGGAUACGGCGUGGCUGGAGCAAGCUAGGGGGCAAUGGAAUUCCCGGUGUAGUGGUGGAAUGCGUAGAUAUCGGGAGGAACACCAGUGGCGAAGGCGGUUGCCUGGAGCUUUGCUGACGCUGAGGCGCGAAAGCGUGGGGAGCGAUCCGG